ACGAACGCUGGCGGCGUGCUUAACACAUGCAAGUCGAACGGAAAGGCCCUGCUUGCAGGGUAUUCGAGUGGCGAACGGGUGAGUAACACGUGGGUGAUCUGCCCUGCACUUCGGGAUAAGCCUGGGAAACUGGGUCUAAUACCGGAUAGGGGCCAUUUUUAGUGUGAUGGUUGGAAAGUUUUUUCGGUGUAGGAUGAGCUCGCGGCCUAUCAGCUUGUUGGUGGGGUAAUGGCCUACCAAGGCGGCGACGGGUAGCCGGCCUGAGAGGGUGGACGGCCACAUUGGGACUGAGAUACGGCCCAGACUCCUACGGGAGGCAGCAGUGGGGAAUAUUGCACAAUGGGCGCAAGCCUGAUGCAGCGACGCCGCGUGGGGGAUGACGGCCUUCGGGUUGUAAACUCCUUUCGCUAGGGACGAAGCUUUUUGUGACGGUACCUAGAUAAGAAGCACCGGCUAACUACGUG
rnacentral:rRNA from 1 species